GACGAACGCUGGCGGCGUGCUUAACACAUGCAAGUCGAACGAAGUGGCGAACGGGUGAGUAACGCGUAAUCAACCUGCCCUUCAGAGGGGGACAACAGUUGGAACCGACUGCUAAUACCGAAUACUGAAGGAGGGGAUUGCGUCUGAUUAGCUAGGUGGGGGGGUAAAGGCCCACAAAGGCGAUGAUCAGUAGCCGGGCUGAGAGGAAGAACGGCCACAUUGGGACUGAGACACGGCCCAGACUCCUACGGGAGGCAGCAGUGGGGAAGUGUCCGCAAUGGGGGGAAGUCUUACGGAGCAACGCCGCGUGAUUGAUGACGGCCUUCGGGUUGUAAAGCUCUGUUAAUCGGGACGCGGUACCGGAAUAGAAAGCCACGGCUAACUACGUGCCAGCAGCCGCGGUAAUUC
rnacentral:rRNA from 1 species